AGUGAACGCUGGCGGUAGGCCUAACACAUGCAAGUCGAACGGCAGCACAGUAAAAGCUUGCUCUUACGGGUGGCGAGUGGCGGACGAGUGAGGAAUACAUCGGAAUUUACUUUUUCGGGGGGGAUAACGUAGGGAAACUUACGCUAAUACCGCAUACGACCUACGGGUGAAAGCAGGGGAUCUUCGGACCUUGCGCGAUUGAAUGAGCCGAUGUCGGAUUAGCUAGUUGGCGGGGUAAAGGCCCACCAAGGCGACGAUCCGUAGCUGGUCUGAGAGGAUGAUCAGCCACACUGGAACUGAGACACGGUCCAGACUCCUACGGGAGGCAGCAGUGGGGAAUAUUGGACAAUGGGCGCAAGCCUGAUCCAGCCAUACCGCGUGGGUGAAGAAGGCCUUCGGGUUGUAAAGCCCUUUUGUUGGGAAAGAAAAGCAGCAGGUUAAUACCCCGCUGUUCUGACGGUACCCAAAGAAUAAGCACCGGCUAACUUCGUG
rnacentral:rRNA from 1 species